ACAAGCGGCCGUGCUGACCCGGCGCAAGGCAUUGUGGUUAGUUGCCCACACACGUGACCCAUAAACGUCACUGCAAAACGUCAUUAAACAUGGCGUCCUCCAUGCCCGUGGCGUAUCGACACCUGAAUACGGAGACGAGCAGCGGCCCAAUAACUACCUUUCGCUUUCAAAGCAUCUUUGGAGAUAGAAGUUAUCAUACCCGUCGAAACACACAAUAGAACAUCUCACCGUGGAAGCAAUGGAUCACCAAACUGCUAGAAGAAGUACUACGUACGUCAUCGUGGCUUCUCUUCUGUUCUGGAGAACUUUCGCUGUGAUUUAUUACGUGGGAAAUGUCUAAAUACCCCAUACCCUUCAAAAUGUUGUGAAAAUGGACUCCUUGAAGGCCAGUGGUGUGCUGAAGAUGGAUUGUAAUAUAUAUAUUGUAUCGGCGAGUAGCCGUCAACGUUCAUAGGUAUGCAAAAUGUCACGGUAAAUACUCAAAUUAGGUGACAUAACGUUAUAACGUUGUUAACAAACAAUACAACUCUAAGAUAUUGCAAAAAAGACAUUCUUACCCGCUCAUAUGGGGCAGUAGCAUUGAUUAUAUGUAAAAUGAAUGAGUAUAAUGGGGCUGCAGAAUAGAUGAUGAUUAGAGAGAAACAAGAGCAUUUUGCAGGAUGAUACCUUCUCCCCUUCUGAGAGGGAACAGGCAACACAUUGAAUAUAGAUUAAUAUGUGUAGUGUGCCUACAACCCUUGCAAAGCAACUGUAUCGCAUCCUACAAAAACACACUCUCACUGUCCUUUGAAUAAUGUCAGCUUAGUGUACAUCUGACGACACCUCUGUGUAUGACGGUCAGCUGUUAAAGUUUUUGCAGCAUGAUGGAGACGUACAUCUAGAUAUUUGUGUGCAAUACCCUUGAUCAGAUGGAAAAAAUGGUUCUCUAAGGGACCUUGUUCAAGCAUGUGGGAUCCUCGAAGUGUUGAAAAUAUGUUAGUGGAAACAGUAACAUCGAGCACAUCCACUAGCAUCUUCUGCAUUAGUGCUUCAGUUGACAGUCUGGAUGCUAGCAUAGUUGAUCUAUAUACUUUUUCAGUCUUUUUGCAUACUUGGAUGACAUCCUCCGAUGGAUACACAAGCCACCCCAGACUUUUUAGACGGAUCAGUGAAUGCUGAGGAAGGCAGGAUGCUGGGGUAGAUAGUGCACUUACACACACUUCACACUUCAAGCGGUUUCGCAGAUAACGCACCACAAAUCCUGCUAUGUACGCCACGACUGUGUCGGCAUACGGUGACAAGUCUGUGGGGUCCGGUAUGUAGUCGUGGUCCAAAUUGGGUUCAAGUUCCAGAUCUUCCUCACCUAGAGUUAGCUGCCGCCGGUCUGCAGACCAGUUGAUGAUGUCCUCAGAUCGCGGCGAUGCUGCACUGGACACACCUGGAAUAUCAAGUUCGCGGCAAUGCUGUAGUGCAUCUGCAACUGAUGAGCUGAGCAGUUGGGCUGCAAGUUUGACUUUCAUUGGCUGUUUCUGCCAGUGGAGAUGUGCGGUACGUAACUUGUUGCCGGCAUGAAUUCCUUCUUUCUGCUGGAGAAGGUGCAGCUUGUCAAUGUGGUCCCAGCAUAUCCUACCGCCGUUCUCAUCCACAAAACUUUGUUUGUGACAAAGGGCAUUCCGGACAAGUUUUAACAUGUGGCACGGAUCGAGAAAGACUGCAACUGGGUUCAUGGUCACUGGAUGUGGAAAUGUAGUCUUGAGCCCAGCAUCGACAUCCAGACAGCACCCAAGGAUUCGUAGCAUUGCUACGUUUGAAGAUGCUCCGUCACAUACAGUCCACCAACGAGAAAAUAACCCAAGGGAAGCUUCCACCUGCCAUUUACAGAGACGACCAUCAGAACCAAAGCCUCUUUAGCUAUUGUGCCAUCACUGCUGGAACCCAUUCCAAUGUCUACAUAACCAUGUGAUUUUUUCCCAUCCCAUUCAACAUGUUGCCGAAUUGCCAUCUCAUCGGUCAUUGCACUGCAGAGAGUUGGAAUCUCCUUCAUUUGAUUCUCUGCUACCUUCAUUUUAAGUGCAUUCAGGGCUUCUUUGGAAAAUCCUGGUUGACCAUCAAUUGACUGAUACCAUUUUUUGAGUGUACGAGGAUGGGGCAGACAAGUGUCAAAGGUCCUUCUCACAUAUCUGUACGCCCUUGCAGAAUAAAAGUAAAGUGUAAGUGCAAAAGCACGGAGCUCUGGACUGUACUUUCUAGGGAGUGGUCGCCUUGUCUUUUUAGCUGUCUGUCUUAGCAGUAGAUCUUUGUUAGCUCCUGCUAUAUUUGAUAACACAUCCGCAUUCUCUUGCAACAGAAUAUUUUUAGCCGUCAAGUCCUGGAUGACAUUUUCUAGAUUUCCCAUUCUCCGCUUCAUACGUCGCUGUUUUUCUUGUAGGGCCUUGAUUCUUUUUUUGCUCGCAGUAUGAAGAUUUCCAAUCCGUCUCACUUCUUGCUUCAAAAAAACUUUAACUGGUGUGUCUUUCAUUGGGGAUGUUUCCUAGUGCAGUAGACAAUUCUGUAUGAGCAUGACUGAUAGGUAGGCAGAUUGCUAGUAAAUAUGAGGCUCCUAGUAACAGUACUGCAGCUCUAACAAUUAAAACAUAUUAGUCAGUCCAUUUUACGUGGACCUUACUAACACUCAAAUGUGUAUUUUCAGAUAUGCUUUGAGCUGUUCUUAUAUGAAAGGAGUUAUACCCACUUGUUUUAAAUGUUGAACUUGCAAACAACAUUGAUCCUCAACAAAUAAAUCAACUAUGCCAAUUGCCGCUCGUGGAGCAACAUUGAAGGCAAGACUAUGCCACUUUUUUAUCACCCAGUGAGCCUCUUCAUGCGUACAUUUAGGUCGGACAUUAACAGCCUCUGCUUUCGAACUGAGUCACUUACCCACCAGUAGGAUACAUGGGCAGGGAGAUAUCAACACACAUGCUGAUUGUCAAAAUUUUAUUUGUAUUCACCUGCAGAAAUUCAUUGAAUUGUCAAUGUGACAUAAGGUUAUGCAGAGUAAUCACAUCGAAACAUGCCAGAAAUGAACACAUGCAACUCAUGAACGGCAUCAUAUAAAACUUUAUUUCCACAUAAUGGCAGGAAUUCAUCAAACUCUCAGUGCCAUGCGGGGUUAGUUGAAAUAAUCAUACUGCUCCAGUUGAACAUACACAAAUCACAGCAUGCAAAUCAUGAUUCACGUCAUAUAAAAAUUUAUUUUCAUACCACUGCAGAAAUUCAUCAA